ensembl:lncRNA
AGUGGCACAGUUAUGGGCACCUGCAUGGCCCCACAAUAUGCCAAUAUUUUUAUGGCCGACCUGGAACAACGCUUCCUCAGCUCUCGUCCACUCACGCCCCUUCUCUACCUACGCUACAUUGAUGACAUCUUCAUCUUCUGGACCCAUGGGAAGGAAUGUCUGGAAAAAUUCCACUACGAUUUCAACAGCUUCCACCCCACCAUCAACCUCAGCCUGGACCAAUCUACAUGGGAGGUCCACUUCCUAGACACCACGGUGCAAAUAAGUGAUGGUCACAUUACCACCACCCUAUACCGAAAACCUACCGACCGCUAUGCCUACCUUCAUGCCUCCAGCUUCCAUCCCGGGCACAUCACACGAUCCUUUGUCUACAGCCAAGCUCUGAGGUACAACCACAUCUGCUCUAACCCCUCAGACAGAGACCAACACCUACAAAAUCUCCACCAAGCAUUCUCAAAACUACAAUACCCGCACGAGGAAAUAAGGAAACAGAUCAACAGAGCCAGACGUGUACCCAGAAGCCUCCUACUGCAAGACAAACCCAAGAGAGAAACCAACAGGACUCCACUGGCCAUCACAUACAGCCCCCAGCUAAAACCCCUCCAACGCAUCAUCAAGGAUCUACAACCCAUCCUGGACAAUGAUCCCACACUUUCACAGGCCUUGGGUGGCAGGCCAAUCCUUGCCCACAGACAACCUGCCAACCUGAAACAUAUUCUCACCAGUAACUGCACACCACACCAUAAUAACUCUAGCUCAGGAACCAAUCCAUGCAACAAACCUCGAUGCCAACUCUGCCCACAUAUCUACACCAGCGACACCAUCACAGGACCUAACCAGAUCAGCCACACCAUCACUGGUUCAUUCACCUGCACAUCCACCAAUGUAAUAUACGCCAUCAUAUGCCAGCAAUGCCCCUCUGCUAUGUACAUCGGCCAAACUGGACAGUCGCUACGGAAAAGGAUAAACGGACACAAAUCAGAUAUUAGGAAUGGCAAUAUACAAAAACCUGUAGGAGAGCACUUCAACCUCCCUGGCCACACUAUAGCAGACCUUAAGGUGGCCAUCCUGCAGCAAAAAAACUUCAGGACCAGACUUCAAAGAGAAACUGCUGAGCUUCAGUUCAUCUGCAAAUUUGACACCAUCAGCUCAGGAUUAAACAAAGACUGUGAAUGGCUUGCCAAUUACAGAACCAGUUUCUCCUCCCUUGGUUUUCACACCUCAACUGCUAGAACAGGGCCUCAUCCUCCCUGAUUGAACUACCUCAUUAUCUCUAGCUUGCCUG